rnacentral:rRNA from 1 species
UUGACCUCGGAUCAGGUAGGACUACCCGCUGAACUUAAGCAUAUCAAUAAGCGGAGGAAAAGAAACCAACAGGGAUUGCCCCAGUAACGGCGAGUGAAGCGGCAACAGCUCAGAUUUGGAAUCUGGCCCCUAGGGCCCGAGUUGUAAUCUGGAGAGGAUGUUUCUGGCGCGGCGCCUUCCGAGUUCCCUGGAACGGGACGCCGGAGAGGGUGAGAGCCCCGUACGGUUGGACGCCUAGCCUUUGUGAAACUCCUUCGACGAGUCGAGUAGUUUGGGAAUGCUGCUCAAAAUGGGAGGUAAAUUUCUUCUAAAGCUAAAUACCGGCCAGAGACCGAUAGCGCACAAGUAGAGUGAUCGAAAGAUGAAAAGCACUUUGAAAAGAGGGUCAAACAGUACGUGAAAUUGUUGAAAGGGAAGCGCCCGUGGCCAGACUUGUACCCCGCGGACCAUCCGGCGCCCUCAGCGCCGGUGCACUCCGUGGGGCGCAGGCCAGCAUCGGUUUUCCUAGGGGGAUAAAGGCGGCGGGAACGUAGCUCCCUCGGGAGUGUUAUAGCCCGCCGUGCCAUGCCCCUGGGGGGACCGAGGACCGCGCUUCGGCAAGGAUGCUGGCGUAAUGGCCACCGGCGACCGU